UGAGGAAUAUUGGUCAAUGGGGGAAACCCUGAACCAGCGACGCCGCGUGAAGGAUGAAGGGGCUUUGCCCUGUAAACUUCUGUCGGAAGGGAAGAAAAGCCCCUCAUGGGGGCUGGGACUGUACCUUCAAAGGAAGGAUCGGCUAACUACGUGCCAGCAGCCGCGGUAAUACGUAGGAUCCAAGCGUUGUCCGGAUUUACUGGGUGUAAAGGGUGCGUAGGCGGACAUGUGCGUCAGAGGUUAAAUGUCACGGCUCAACCGUGAACCUGCCUUUGAUACGGCAUGUCUGGAGUGUGAGAGAGGAUGGUAGAAUUCCUGGUGUAGCGGUGAAAUGCGUAGAUAUCAGGAGGAAUACCAGUGGCGAAGGCGGCCAUCUGGCUCACAACUGACGCUGAGGCACGAAAGCGUGGGGAGCAAACAGG
rnacentral:rRNA from 1 species